rnacentral:lncRNA from 1 species
UCUUUUGAAUCCACAGCACCCAAAACUCAACAAUGCCAUGGCUAAAGCACCCAAAACCUCAGGCGGUGGGCAAAGAAUUGUUCAACCUUUUAAACUCUAUUCAGUUUCAACCAUGACACAGCAUCCUAAGCACCCAAAACUCAGCACGACAUCGCUUCAACGAGAUCCUUCCUGGACCCUCAACAGCUAAAGCACCACAAUUCCUCUGCUCCCUC